CCCAAGACUCAGGAAAGUAUUGAAGGGAGAAUUGGAGCCCAAAGGCAGAUGAAGGUGACAGAUCUCAAUGAACAAGAGUGUGGUUGCAAACUGUGCUUUCUCCCUGAUCUGUGGCUAAUUGGAAAACUGCAUUCUCCCUGACUACUAGGUCAUGGCAUGAGCGAAGAGGCUUGGGCCUACAGAGGUGUGAUGAUGGUGGGGGACCCUGGCAGCUUCCACAGAGAAACACACCAGUUGAGUGGAGCAGGAGAUGCUGUGGGCUGCAGCAGCUGGAGGUGUUAGGAGGUCAGAUCAGAAGAGGCGGAUCACUGGGAGUGUGGCCCGAGGUGUAUCUCCUUCCAUGGCUCCUCCUUCCACUCUCUCCUUUCUCCAAGCCAGGCAGUGAGCAACUCUCCUCUACGUGCCCCUCUGUCCUGCCCUGGAGCCAGCCCACUAUGGACUGAAAUGUGAGCCAAAAUGAACGUCUCCUCCUUUAAGUUGCUGGUGGUGGGUAUUGUGUCUCAGUGAUGAGGGAAGUGACUAAGACAAAACUGUACAUGUUCUAUUUUAAAAAUUAAUUAAUUCUAUUACCAGC
rnacentral:lncRNA from 1 species